rnacentral:rRNA from 1 species
AUUGAACGCUGGCGGCGUGCUUAACACAUGCAAGUCGAUCGGUAACAGGUGUAGCAAUACAUGCUGACGAGAGGCGGACGGGUGAGUAAUGCUUGGGAAUCUGCCUAUUAGUGGGGGACAACCCGGGGAAACUCGGGCUAAUACCGCAUACGCUCUACGGAGGAAAGCCGGGGACCGCAAGGCCUGGCGCUAAUAGAUGAGCCCAAGUCGGAUUAGCUAGUUGGUAGGGAACGGCCUACCAAGGCGACAAUCCGUAGCUGGUCUGAGAGGACGACCAGCCACACCGGAACUGAGACACGGUCCGGACUCCUACGGGAGGCAGCAGUGGGGAAUAUUGGACAAUGGGGGCAACCCUGAUCCAGCGACGCCGCGUGGGUGAAGAAGGCCUGCGGGUUGUAAAGCCCUUUCGGUGGGGAAGAAAAGUCUCGACCUAAUACGUCGGGACCUUGACGUAACCACUAAAGAAGCACCGGCUAACUCUGUGCCA